rnacentral:rRNA from 1 species
GACGUAGGGCGCGAGCGUUUGUCCGGAUUUAUUGGGCGUAAAGAGCUCGUAGGCGGCUUGUCGCGUCGACUGUGAAAACCCGCGGCUCAACCGUGUGGUCUGCAGUCGAUACGGGCAGGCUAGAGUUCGGUAGGGGGAGACUGGAAUUCCUGGUGUAGCGGUGAAAAUGCGCAGAUAUCAGGGAGGGAAACACCCGGUGGGCGAAAGGCGGGGUCUCUGGGGCCCGAUACUGACGCUGAGGGAGCGAAAAGCGUGGGGG